AUUGAACGCUGGCGGCAGGCCUAACACAUGCAAGUCGAGCGGUUGAAGGGAGCUUGCUCCCUGAUUCAGCGGCGGACGGGUGAGUAAUGCCUAGGAAUCUGCCUAUUAGUGGGGGACAACGUUUCGAAAGGAACGCUAAUACCGCAUACGUCCUACGGGAGAAAGCAGGGGACCUUCGGGCCUUGCGCUAGUAGAUGAGCCUAGGUCGGAUUAGCUUGUUGGUGAGGUAAUGGCUCACCAAGGCGACGAUCCGUAACUGGUCUGAGAGGAUGAUCAGUCACACUGGAACUGAGACACGGUCCAGACUCCUACGGUGGGCAGCAGUGGGGAAUAUUGGACAAUGGGCGAAAGCCUGAUCCAGCCAUGCCGCGUGUGUGAAGAAGGUCUUCGGAUUGUAAAGCACUUUAAGUUGGGAGGAAGGGUUGUAGAUUAAUACUCUGCAAUUUUGACGUUACCGACAGAAUAAGCACCGGCUAACUCUGUGCCAGCAGCCGCCGCAGUAA
rnacentral:rRNA from 1 species